rnacentral:rRNA from 1 species
ACGGGUGCGUAACGCGUGGGAAUCUGCCCUUAGGUUCGGAAUAACAGCUGGAAACGGCUGCUAAUACCGGAUGAUAUCGCGAGAUCAAAGAUUUAUCGCCUGAGGAUGAGCCCGCGUUGGAUUAGGUAGUUGGUGGGGUAAAGGCCUACCAAGCCGACGAUCCAUAGCUGGUCUGAGAGGAUGAUCAGCCACACUGGGACUGAGACACGGCCCAGACUCCUACGGGAGGCAGCAGUGGGGAAUAUUGGACAAUGGGCGCAAGCCUGAUCCAGCAAUGCCGCGUGAGUGAUGAAGGCCCUAGGGUUGUAAAGCUCUUUUACCCGGGAAGAUAAUGACUGUACCGGGAGAAUAAGCCCCGGCUACCUCCGUGCCAGCAGCCGCGGUAAUACGGAGGGGGCUAGCGUUGUUCGGAAUUACUGGGCGUAAAGCGCACGUAGGCGGCUUUGUAAGUCAGAGGUGAAAGCCUGGAGCUCAACUCCAGAACUGCCUUUGAGACUGCAUCGCUUGAAUCCAGGAGAGGUCAGUGGAAUUCCGAGUGUAGAGGUGAAAUUCGUAGA